ensembl:lincRNA Mexis expressed sequence AI427809
GUCUGAAAAGGAAGUUGAAGAAGACAAAGCAGGAGGAAGAAGAGAGAGGGAAGGAGGAGGAGAGUACAUUUAAAACUUCUCAAGAGAAACCCUGACGCCCAGAGGCCUGCCCACCACAUGGCCCGCCUGCAGCAGGAACCACUACAAUGUGCAAGAGGCAGUGUUUACAUCUUACCAUCUUACUGGACUCUUUCUGUGAGGCUCCUCACAUACCUUUAAGAAGAGCAGCAUUUCCCUCGUGUGAAAUGUAGAGGUGAGCUUGGCUUCCUGUUUGCCGGGAGUAUCUAAAGCAGCCGUUCUUACCCUGUGGGUUGAGACCCUCAGAGGGGUCGCAUCUCAGAUGAUAUCCUGCAGUCAGAGAUCCUGCACAUCAGAGACCCUGCAUAUCAGAGAUCCUGCAAUCAGAGAUCCUGCACAUCAGAGACCCUGCACAUCAGAGACCCUGCACAUCAGAGAUCCUGGUUGAUGCUUACCACAAUGCCAAAGGAACUGUAUUAAAGGGUUGCAGCAUUAGGAAGGUUAAAAACCACUGGAAAAAGGCAAAUGUCUGAACAAUAACUGUUUGUCUUUGAAGGCCACAUAGUCCAGUAAAACGUGACGUUGACCCAUUUCAGAUGACUUUGACCCGACUUAUGAAAUAUUAACCUUGACAUUAUUGUGGUGCAGCACAUUCUCCCACUAAGGGCCACUACCCACUCUAAAGAUACUCUGAAUCAAUCCAAGUCGAAGAAAACUUGCCCAGAAAAACACACAUGUGACUUCCAGAUCCUCCUUGAAAGGAGUCAAGGGAAGAUGAAAAAUUUUGCUUCUUUCAACCAUAAAUACUAGUUUCUUUACCCCACCACGAGAUUCUAUUAUUUGAGAGUAAUUUCUGCAUGCAUCCUCUGAAAUCCUUAAAGCCCCUUACUAAAGUUCAGUUUCUCCCCUUUUCAUCUCCCUACCAAAGUUGUGGAUACCCAAUCUCGAAUCAGAGAGGGAUAAGAAUUGCCUGGAGUCACACAGCAUCUGGCGGUUCCACGAUCCCUCAGUGUUUCUACCUGUUUGCUUGUUUGUUUUUUCCCAUUUGUGUCCUAUCUGGCUGAAGGCCCAGCUGCUGCUGCAGUCUCACUCUCUGUGGGAGGUCACAAGCCACCAGCCAUCAGUCCAGUAAGGAAGUAUUCUGUACACAUCUAGCUGCAGCUGGCAUAGAGCUCAGGGGCAGCUGUCCAUCAAGAAGGUGACAAGGGUGGGAGAGGUGCAAACACCAUGCAUGUCACUGUCCCAUCGAGUCACUGCCAGCUCAGAAGGACUUGAGGGAUCUGUGCUACUGGCCCCCCAACACCUGCCUGUGUCUCUUCCUGUACUCUAUCAGCAGGAGACGGCCGUGUCAUCCCCUGUUGCACAGUUGAGGGCCAGCUGCAAGCCUAUCCUGAGGCCACCUGUGAUGCUUAUGGUCCAUCAGCUUACUGGCACCUCACCUCCCACACCAGUCUGUCACCUGCCUUGCCUUUCACAGCCCGUGUAGCUCCCUAAUCAGUGAGUUGCUCUUCAAGGCUAGUCUCCUGGCCUUGUGAUUCCUCUUCCAGGGUGUGAACACUCUGCCCUUGCCCUCCAAUCUAUCUGGCAUCGAGAGAAUUCUUGCAGCAGUUUUAGAAAAACAAAAAUCUAUUUGUGUCGUGUUUCAUGUUGCUAGGUUGCUUUUCCUCUUCCUCCUGUUCUUUUGCAAAUAACAAAUGUUUUAGUAUUAAAAUUUACUAGAUUCCUUAAAGUUAUGUAACAGAUUUGUUUGUCUUAUCAUCUACAUUCUAUUUUAAAAGUAGUCAUUCUUUUUUGCAAUUUAAAUGCACAAAAAUAUAUACAACCUCCCUAUUCAAAUCCUCAAGGAUACACUUUUAUCAACAAAAUGUACCAUCUUUAUUUUUGAAUAGCAAAAGCUUAAUGGUAUGAACUAAAAUGAACAGAUUCAUUU